CCUGGCCUGGACGGGACGCUCCUGCCGCCCUCCUGCAGCGCGGACCUCAGGUCUGCUGAGCACCACCUGAGGACGGGCACUGGCGCAUGCGCCCCAUAGAAGUGAUGGAGACACAGAGGACCUGCUCCAGGCGGGGCUUCAGCGUGUGGGUUCGCGGGUCCUGGGAGCCGAGAGAAGGCGCCUGUUUCUUCGGGUCUGACGGGCACAAGCCGAAUCUCCCCACGAGGUGCUCGUGUGCCCAGGUGCCGGCGUACAGGGCCCGAUGCCAGACGUUUCUGCAUCUCCUACCUCCUCCCCCUAGCUUCUCCCCUUUCGCGGGUGGCCCAGGUGCGUGGGGGCAUCGGCAGGGGAGGGGCCAGGGCCUAAGAAGUCUGCAGGGGUCGGCGGUGAAGGGCAGGGAGCCGCAGCCCCGAGCCCCCGCGCAAGGGUAGAGAUCUGAAGUCUAAGGCGGUCUCUGCGUGACCUUGGGCGAGUCAUUCCCCUCGGGAGCCUCAGCUGGCUCGCCCGUCAAGUGGGAACGCAGCGGCCGCACUUGGCGGGUUGCCCGCGGUGGAGCGCGGAGCUCGGCGGGGCGCCGGGACGAGGUGAGGAGGGGUCCAGCCGCCCAGGGGGAGUCGGGGGGCCGCGGGCGUCCCCGGGCGGGCGCUGGGGGGCGCUGCGCGCCGGGCGGCUCGCCCCGCGGCAAGUUUGCCUCCAGCUGUUGAAUGCGCCCGCGACGGCGACGGCGACGGCGACGGCGGCGGCGGGACCCGGAGCCCGCGGGGUGAGCGGGGCGGGGGGCCGGGCGGGGCCGGGGCUCGGCGCUCCCCGCGGCCGCCGCCGCCGCCUCCCCGGGCGCUGCAGCUGCGGCGUUGGAGCCGGGCGGGCCCCCGCCCCGCGGCCGCGUGUCUGCGUGCGCGCGUGUCUGUGGAAGGAUCGGGCCGGGGGAGGGGGGCGGGCGGGGUCUCGCUGCGGACGCGCCUGCGGACGGACGGACGGACAGACCGCGGGCCGCGGCCCCUGACGCACGCUGCGCUCCCACCCCGGCGGCGGCGGCGGCCCGGGCCGGGCGGGGGCGGGUCGGGGGCGGGGGCGGGGGCGGCGGCGUCUGCGCGCACACGCGGGCUCGCAGACACACACACACGCACACGCGGGCCACGCCGCGCACACCCGCACCCGCGCCCGCGCUCACACUCACUCACACUCACACUCGCGCGCAGGCCCCGCAGCCGCCGCCGCCUCCGGAAGCGGCGCUCGGCCCGGAUCCCGGCCGGCCUGGAGGAGAAGACCUGGGUGAGAAGCUGCUGCCGCCUGAGCCAGACUGGGACCGAGACCCCGUUGCUCCUGCUGCCGCUGCCAGCGCAGGGCCUCCCUGAGACCAGGCCAGGGAUAGACCUCGUGGGCCGGAGGGGCCCCCUUAGCCUGCAGACAUCGGUAAGGACAGGGUCCUUCUGACCGUGCUCGACUGUGUGGCUGUGUGAGCCCGGCUCACAUGACCUGGCCUGGGACCUGUGCUGGAGCGCGGCCUGCCCGGAUCCCCUGGGUCCCUUCCUGCCCUGCCCUGCCCGCCCCCGGCUGUGGGCGCCCACCGGCUCCUCCCGGGCAUCCCUUCCCCGGGCUGUGAGGCAGCUGGCAGGGCGGCGGGCCUUUCCGGGGGCUGGGACAGGCCCCCCGUGGUGGGUGGGAGGAGGCCCAAUCCUGCCCUAAGCCUGCCUGCGCCCCAGCAGGGCUGGGGCACCUGCGCACGGGCUGGGGCAGGGGUCGGCUUCCAGGUGGUCUCCUUUCCUCCCUCGGGCGGCGGGCGGCGGGGGGGGUUUCGGGUGUCGGGGGCCAGCCUGAGGGGCUGGGAGCACAGACAGGCAGGUCAGAAUCGAUACCGGGUCUGAUCCAGCGUCUGGAAUUUCUUGGGGGAGCCGUCAGGCAGCUGGAGGCCUCGGGCUUGCAGGCGGGCGGGCGGGAGCGGCUCCGUCUAGGCUGGGGCUGGUGGCUGCCCCGGAGAGGAGAGGCUGUCACUGUCACCGCGGCUGUGUUGGUGGUGGCCACGUGGAGGGAGCUGUGGUCCGGGCGGGUGCUGAGUGACGGUGGUUGCCUUGGCGAGGGAGCCGCCUCUGUGGCAUUGUGGUCUCCAUGGAGAGAGGAGGAGACGAGGGAGGAGGCUGGCUGUCUGGGCCUGGGUGUUGGUGGUUGCUAAGGAGAGGGAGAUGCCGUCUCCA
rnacentral:lncRNA from 1 species